UACGAAGGGGGCUAGCGUUGCUCGGAGUUACUGGGCGUAAAGGGCGUGCAGGUGGUCUGUUAAGUCUGGCGUGAAAGCUCCUGGCUAAACCGGGAGAGGUCGUUGGAUACUGGCGGACUAGAGGACGGUAGAGGCGUGUGGAAUUCCGGGUGUAGUGGUGAAAUGCGUAGAGAUCCGGAGGAACACCAGUGGCGAAGGCGACACGCUGGGCCGUACCUGACACUGAUACGCGACAGCAUGGGGAGCGAACGGG
rnacentral:rRNA from 1 species